rnacentral:sRNA from 2 species
AUGUACCACGCGUCCACUGCGGUUGUGAGCGCGCCGUCCGCGCCCACCUGACAGUUGCUUAGCCGUUCUUAGCC